rnacentral:rRNA from 1 species
UACGUAGGGGGCAAGCGUUGUCCGGAUUUAUUGGGCGUAAAGAGCGUGUAGGCGGCUUUACAGGUCCGUUGUGAAAACUCGAGGCUCAACCUGUGAAUGCCGCUGGAAACUGUCUGGCUAGAGUCCGGAAGGGGCGAGUGGAAUUCCUGGUGUAGCGGUGAAAUGCGCAGAUAUCAGGAGGAACACCAAUGGCGAAGGCAGCUCGCUGGGACGGUACUGACGCUGAGGCGCGAAAGCGUGGGGAGCAAACAGG